rnacentral:lncRNA from 1 species
GACUCAACCACUGUGAUUAUUUGCCCAGUCUUCCCAAGAUCCCACAAAGCAGGCAAUGUUGGGCUGGAUGGAAUAAUGCACUUCAUUUAUUUAUUCACUGCAUAUUUAUUGAAUGCCUCCCUGUUCCAGACCCUGCUGUGUGUUAGAGCUGUGGGGAGAGUGGAAAUGGACUGGGAUUACUGCCUUGAAUGUAGAAUGUGUCACUUGACUCCACACCAGAGAACCCAGGUGGUCAGAAGUAAAACCGCUUAGCAGUGGACACAAGGGAAAACGUCUUCUCAUGAAGUGGCUGAUUUGACAUCGAAGAGAGAUUUAUGACUGAAGCAAAACAGAGCCUGCUGACACUCCUGGCUGCUUUAGGGCUGCCUACGUAGGUUGCUUGCCCAGGGCAACCUCCUACCUCUUAGAACUGGGGGUUCUUUCAGGUACCACCACCUCCAGGACCACAAGAGGGUGCUUUCCUCCUUUCAGGUUAUGCCUUUUUGAAAUGCAGCUCUUCAGACUUCCUAGAGGAAUUCAGUCAUGCAGCUUGAAGAAUGAUCUUAAGGGUGGUACGUUACACUCAACCUUCAAUGAUUUCAGAGACUUGGAGAAAGGGGAACAGGACCUAUAUUUGAACCAUGAUGUCAUGCAGUUAUGUACAGCACAGGCACAUGCAUGGCUGGGAAGUGUCUAUGGGUUGAUUCCUUUGAGAAUUAUAUGGAGCUGA